GAUGAACGCUGGCGGCGUGCUUAACACAUGCAAGUCGAACGGUGAACGAGGGAGCUUGCUCCCUCCGGAUCAGUGGCGAACGGGUGAGUAACACGUGAGCAAUCUGCCCUGGACUCUGGGAUAAGCGUUGGAAACGACGUCUAAUACCGGAUACGAGGCGUGGGGGCAUCCCCAACGCCUGGAAAGAACUUCGGUCCAGGAUGAGCUCGCGGCCUAUCAGCUUGUUGGUGAGGUAACGGCUCACCAAGGCGACGACGGGUAGCCGGCCUGAGAGGGUGACCGGCCACACUGGGACUGAGACACGGCCCAGACUCCUACGGGAGGCUGCAGUAACGAAUCUUCCGCAAUGGGCGCAAGCCUGACGGAGCGACGCCGCGUGUAGGAGAAGCCCUUCGGGGUGUAAACUACUGUCAGGGGUUAGAAAGUUCUGAUCAACCCCAGAGGAAGGCACGGCUAACUCUGUGCCAGCAGCCGCAGUAAUAC
rnacentral:rRNA from 1 species